UUCCCGUGACUUUUUUGUAAUCGGAUGUUUGUAGAGUAGUUGGGUUAAGGUUAUGCAUUACUAUCUUAUUACUUUGGCUACAAGGUGUUGGUGUAUAUACUAGAUUGCGGGUGGCACUGGUUCAUGGUUUUUCUUUUCAUAGGCAAAGUAACAUUUAGCUGAUUGUUGCCCUCUUUACUUGUCGCUACGUUUCAGAAUUUCUUAUAUUUUUCGAGGACUUGGUGGUUGUCAAGAGAUCCGUGGCUUCAAGUUCAAUCAAUUCCUAGCAAGUGAGAUAAUCUUCAUAUUUGCUUCAAAAGGCAUGGUUUGGUAUUAUUAUCAUGCAAGGAGUUCAUGAUGAAUUCUUCUGGUUGAUUUUACAAAAAAGGCGGUAUAUUUGUCAGGGUUUUGUAGGAUCAAGGAGACAAGGACUUUGGAUCGUUUUCAUGUUGAUUUCGAUUAUCAAAUUUAGUUGGUUGUGCUUAUUGAGAAGGUUCUCCAUGGAAAUCAAUUCACCUCAGUUCCUUGCAAUGGGGUGAUUGUGACUGAUUCCCUUUCACCUCAUUAGCUACUGUAAGCUGGAUUCAAUCGCUAUUAACUGGUAAGUUUUUUGCUCUAAAAUGUUUUCUUAUUUCAGAUCAGGUCGACUAUCUAUUAUAUCUGGAAAUAUCGAUUU